AGUGAACGCUGGCGGUAGGCCUAACACAUGCAAGUCGAACGGCAGCACAGUAAGAGCUUGCUCUUACGGGUGGCGAGUGGCGGACGGGUGAGGAAUACAUCGGAAUCUACUUUUUCGUGGGGGAUAACGUAGGGAAACUUACGCUAAUACCGCAUACGACCUACGGGUGAAAGCAGGGGAUCUUCGGACCUUGCGCGAUUGAAUGAGCCGAUGUCGGAUUGGCUAGUUGGCGGGGUAAAGGCCCACCAAGGCGACGAUCCGUAGCUGGUCUGAGAGGAUGAUCAGCCACACUGGAACUGAGACACGGUCCAGACUCCUACGGGAGGCAGCAGUGGGGAAUAUUGGACAAUGGGCGCAAGCCUGAUCCAGCCAUACCGCGUGGGUGAAGAAGGCCUUCGGGUUGUAAAGCCCUUUUGUUGGGAAAGAAAAGCAGCAGGUUAAUACCCCGCUGUUCUGACGGUACCCAAGGAAUAAGCACCGGCUAACUUCGUG
rnacentral:rRNA from 1 species